rnacentral:rRNA from 1 species
UUAAGUGGAGAGUUUGAUCCUGGCUCAGAGCGAACGCUAGCGGCGCGCCUAACACAUGCAAGUCGAGCGAGAAAGAGGGGGCAACUCCUUGAGUAAAGCGGCGAACGGGUGAGUAAUGCAUGGGUAAUCUACCUAUAAGACUGGGAUAACCUUCCGAAAGGAGGGCUAAUACCGGAUAAGACCACAUGACUUUUGUUGUGGGGUUAAAGAUGGGGAUUCGCAAGAACCUAUCAUUUAUGGAUGAGCCCAUGUCCCAUCAGCUUGUUGGUAGGGUAAUGGCCUACCAAGGCUAAGACGGGUAGCUGGUCUGAGAGGACGAUCAGCCACACUGGCACUGAAACAC